ensembl:lncRNA
CUCUCUCCAACUUCACUUCCUCCAUCUUCACUUUACUCCAUCUCCACUCUCUCCAACUUCACUUCCUCCACCUUCACUUCCUCCAUCUUCACUUUACUCCAUCUUCACCUUAUUCUACCUUCACUUUACUCCAUCUUCACCUUACUCCACUUCACUCUCUCCAUCAUCACUCUCUCCAACUGCACUUCCUCCACCUUCACUCUCUCCAACUUCACUUCCUCCAUCUUCCCCUUACUUCACCGUCACUCUCUCCAACUUUACUUCCUCCAUCUUCAAUUUUUCCACCUUCACUUUACUCCACCUCAACCUUACACCACCUUCACGCUCUCCACCUUCACUUUACUCCGUCUUCACUCUCUCCACCUUCACUUUACUCCGCUUUACUUGUUUGCCUGAGUCUUGUGUUUGACUCUCAGUCGUGUGAAAAAAUGUGUUAAACAAAGGCGGUUCAUUUUCAGGAUGAAUGGAGAUGAAUUUUCUUAGUGAAGCACAGACACAAUAGCACAAUAACAUUAAUGCAAUAAUGUUUAUUGUACGAGUCAACUCCGUGUUGAUUUUUUUGUAAUAAACAAUUUUAGUAAACAGUUUUUUUUUUUAAUAGAGUGCUGAGAAAUAUUAUUUCGGUCAUUUGAAUAAGAUUUCAUGGAACAAUUUCAACCAUAGUUAGGCAGAGACAAACAGUCAAUGGUCAUAAUAUUGCAAAGAAAAGAAAAAAAAAAAAAAAACCAGUAAUGAAUCAUUUGGGAGUCGACUCUUCUCGGUGACUCACUGAGAAAAAUCAGAAUUCCAAUCAUUACUCAGAACCGACGUGUCUGAUUUAUACCACGCCGCAGUCAUGUGACAUAUCGUUGAUGAAUUCAUUUGUGCGAAUGUGGGAGGUGAAGCUAAUGAACCAGGAACCCGGUGUAGACAGACAAACGGAUAUAUAGAUCAUCCUGAACGGAACCGAAUUAAGACAAACGACUCAGAACCCAAUCACUCCCACCGACAAUAUGCUCAUCAGUCUUCACUGUUUACAUUUAUACUGAUUAUCUGUGUCGUGUGUCGUGCAUGAAUAAUUAUUUACUCCCCUUUUACCAAUAAACUCCAUGCACAAGACCAAAAUCUUUCCAGAAUCCCUCUUCAUCUAUCUAAAGUUAGCAUUCUUCUGUCAUUUCCUCUAUUUUUUAUAAAUAAAUGGUUGAAACCUGUGAAUUUUUUUGCCCCGGAUCCGUCGCUCUUAAUAACACCGACCCGCCGUAUCGCUCCAAUCGGUUCUCUAUCGCCUGUUUAGGGAACAGAGAGAAACCGCAGCUUUAUUUGAGGAACGAUCGAGCGCGGGUUCGAUCACUGUCUGCCAGAUUUACCCGGAGAGUUUACUGUUGGUUUAUCCUGUGAUUAAUGAGCUCUGUUUCUGUUCUGUUGUUAGUUUUAUUUAAGUAAAAUAAGAAUCAAUCAGGUUCAGAGGAGAAGAGCGAAGCGAGGACGAGGGAAACCUGAUUUAACGGGCUCGCUUUGAUAAACACGUCAAUCAGGAAAUUAGCGGAAGGUAGCAGGAUGUAGAGCGGUGGGCUUUGUGGGUUACAGGUGGGCGUGGCUUCGAGUUUAGACAAGAUUUGUUCGUUUUAAGAUGACUAUCUUUAUUCCCCUGUACGAAAGAUAAUUCCUUCUCAGAGCUACUAUGACAUGCCCACAUUCCAGUUUAUAACAUUUAGGUGCACGCCCACUCAGAGCUACUAUGACACGCCCACAUUCCAGUUUAUAACCUUUAGGUGCACGCCCACUCAAAGCUACUAUGACACGCCCACAUUCCCCUCUAUAGUUAUUGAGGUUAAUGUUAUGGUUAAAGGUAAGUCACUGCAAAUACCACAAAGAUAGAACAUGUGUGUGUGUGUGUGUGUUUGUGUGUGAGUGUGUGUGUGUGUGUGUGUGUGUGUUCUAUCACAGAGGUGCUAAUGGCUCUGUAUGGUUUUCUCUCCAACCACACAUUCUUCCCACAAGGAAUCCAUUAGCGUUCAGUUACCUACCACUAAUGCACUACCACCUCUUAACUUCUCUCUCAUGAUGUGUGUGUGUGUGUGUGUGUGUGUGUGUGUUUCAGUUACAGAAUGAUAAUGGCACUCUGUGAUUGAAUAUGACACUAAAUUCCCGAGUUGUAGCCUCAUUGGGUUUAGCCGUGGUCAGAGUGUGAGAGGUAUUGGUCUAAAGUGUGUCACACACACACACACACACUUUGCACUAAGUCUCCUGAGUCAGGAAAGUGUGAGAUCUGACUAGAUUCUGUUGAAACUCCCAUCGAGAGGUGUGUGUGUGUGUGUGUGUGUGUGUGUGUGUGUGUGUGUGUGUGUGUGUGUGUAGUUUUCCGCUCUGUAUUAGUGACAGUGAUGAACGGAAAGCUUAAUCGAGCUGGUCACUGAAAUGUUGAAGCUACACUUCUCCUCUUAUUAGUGUUAGAAAGGCGUUGUGUGUGUGUGUGUGUGUGUGUGUGUGUGUGUGUGUGUGUGUGUGUGUGUGUGUUUAUGUGAUUAUCUCUUUCUCUGUCUCUCUAGUUUCAUCCUCAUUCCAGACUACUUGUCUGUUGUUUAUAAUUCCUUUUUAUUCCCUGAGGGUAAUAGAAUUUUCUGGAUUGUUCUCAGUCGAUUCCAAUCGCAGCUCUGAUGAAUCACAUCUUGAGGAUGAAUUUAAUCACUCAUCUUUUCGUUUAUUGUCUCGUUUAUUUAUGUCUUUAGAGUUUUCUAGCACCAUUAUUUAUGAUGAGCAUGCAUAUCAUAUGCGGAGGAAGGUGUGUGUGUGUGUGUGUGUGUGUGUGUGUGUGUGUGGUUUGGGACAUGUCAACAACGGACUGCAAAUAUCUGAGUCAGAGUGUUUACUAUGUUUACUGUGAGAAAAUGCAUUCAUUCAGCAGCGGGUUUUAUUCUGUUCUGGUUCUGGUUCAGUGAUCCAGCAGUGUUUAUUUAUUUAUUUUCUCAGUUCUCAGUUAUUUUCACUGUAUUUUUUUUUCCACUUUUUCUCAUUUUGUCUCUCCCUUCUUCUAUAUUUUUCUAACCAUUAUUUUUCCUUCCUUUCUCUUUCUUUCUUUCUCUUUCUUUCUUUCUUUCUCUUUCUUUCUUUCUCUUUCUUUCUUUCUUUCUCUUUCUUUCUUUCUUUCACUUUCUUUCUUUCUUUCACUUUCUUUCUCAUUCUUUCUUUCUUUCUUCCUUCCUUUCUCUUUCUUUCUUUCUUUCUUUCUCUUUCUUUCUUUCUCUUUCUUUCUCAUUCUUUCUCAUUCAUUCUUUCUUUCUUUCUUCCUUUCUUUCUCUUUCUUUCUUGAGUCUGGAGUACUGAGUCUGGAGUACUGAGUCUGGAGUACUGUGUCUGUAUGGCUGUGUCUGGAGUACUGUGUCUGGAGUGCUGUGUCUGGAGUACAUGUUCUGAAGUGCUGUGUCUGGAGUACUGUGUCUGGAGUACUGAGAAUGGAGUACUGAGUCUGAAGUGCUGUGUCUGGCUGUACUGAAUCUGAUGUACUGAGUGUGAAAUACCGUGCCUGGUGUACCGUGCAUCUGAAGUGCAGUGUCUGGCUGCACUGAAUCUGACGUAGUGAGUCUGAAGUGCUUUGUCUGGAGUAAUGAAUCUGAAUUACUGUGUCUGGAGUUCUGAGUCUUUAGUACAGUGUUUGUAGUACUGAGUCGGGAGUACUGCUUCUAGAGUACCUUGUCAGAAGUACUGUGUCUGUAGUAUUGAGUCUGAAGCAUUGUGUUUUUAGUACCAAAUCUAGAUUACUGUGUCUGUAGUACUGAAUCUGGAGUACUGAGUCUGACCUUCUUGGAGGAUAAUUAUGUGCAGUGAAAUGGACUCGAUUGAGUUGAUUUGGUUAAAUCGGACAGCGAGACGUAAAAAGUGCCACCCCCCCCCCCCCCCCCCCAUUUGUCUUCACUCUCUAUUUUUUCUUCACAGCUCCUGCUUUGUUUUAUCUGCUCAUCGAUCAUGUCUCCACCACUUCUACUCCAAUCCAUCAACCUCUCCUCCAUCUCUCUCUCUCCAUCUCUCUCUCUCUCUCUCUUCAGCUUUCUUUUUCAUAUCCCUCUCUUUUUUGUGCCUCACUCUAUUGUUUCUCUCUCUCUCUCUCUCUCUCUCUCUCUCUCUCUCUCCCCCCUUGCUGCCUUGUAUCCAUCUUUCUGAUCCCUCUGUCUGCAGGACCGUUCUGUAUAUCAGCAGAGAUUUCACACUCGUGAUCCUCUGCGCAGGCUGCCUGAUCAUUCACGCUGGGAAACACACACACACACACACACACACACACACACACACACACACACACAGCCAUCCCUCCCUACCUUCGCUAUAAUUUACACAUGUCCUUUUCAGAUAGUAAUAGAGUCCAACCUGCAUGCUGUUUUCUCAUUUCUUUUACACACACACACACACACACACACACACACACUCACAGACACACUCACACACACACACACACACACACCAAAGGACCCCUAAUGCAUCACAAUUGCAUGUGUCGAUGUACCAUUGCUGAUACAGAAUACCCAGAAUGCACUGUUCUGCCUGAAAAUAUCACUCAUAAGUGAAUAAGAUGUGUUUGGGACACAUCCUCAACAUUCUACUGAUGAUGAUGAGAUGGUUAUAACGAUGUUUGUGUCCUAUAUAGUGAAUACGAUGUGUUUGGGACACAUCCUCAACAUUCUGAUGAUGAUGAUGAUGAUGAGAUGGUUAUAACGAUGUUUGUGUCCUAUAUAGUGAAUAAGAUGUGUUUGGGACACAUCCUCAACAUUCUGAUGAUGAUGAUGAUGAUGAUGAGAUGGUUAUAACGAUUGUUUGUGUCCUAUAUAGUGAAUAAGAUGUGUUUGGGACAUACCUCAGUGUCGUGAUGAUAAUUAUACAUUUGUAAUGAUUACUGUAAAUGCCCUAUAUAGCGAAUACAGUGUUUGGUUUGGAACACGUCCACAGUGGGCUGAUUAUGAGGAGACAUUUGUAAUGAUUCUUAUGUGUCCUACGUAAUGAAUAGAGUGUCUGGUUUGGGACACAUCCUUGGUGUACUGAUGAUAAUUAGAUGUAUGUAAUGAUGUUUAUGCAGCCUAUAUAGUGAAUAGGGUAUGUGGGUUGGGACACAUCCACAGUGGUGUGAUGAUGAUGAUGAUGAGACCUUUAUAAUGUUAUAAUGUGCCCUAUAUCGUGAAUCGGGAGUUUGAUUUGGAACAUGUCCACAGUAGACUGAUGAUAAUUACACGUUCGUAUUGUUGUCUAUGAGCCCUGUAUAGUCACUAGGGUGUGCACACAUCCACAGUGACUUGAUGAUGGCCUAUUUAGUGAAUAUUGUGUUUAGACCUUUGUAUUGAUGGGACACGUCCACUGUGACCUGAUUAUGAGGAGACAUUUAUAAUGAUGUUUAGGUGCCCUAUAUAGUGGUUCAGGACACAUCCCCAGUGGACUGAUGAUAACAGAUGCUGUAGUGAUGCAUAUGCAGCCUAUGUAGUAGAUAGACUGUGUCGAUUGGGACACAUCCAUAGUGACCCAAUGAUAGUAAGAUAUUUAUAAUGAUGUUUAAGUGCCCUGUAUAGUGAGUUGGAAAACACCCGUGGUGAGUUAAUGUUGUUUGUAUUGAUGUUCAUAUGGC